AGCUUUGCGCAGUGGCAGUAUCGUAGCCAAUGAGGUUUAUCCGAGGCGCGAUUAUUGCUAAUUGAAAACUUUUCCCAAAAGCCGGAUAAGAACUGCAGAGUUAAGCAUUUCAGAGGUCUCCCACCUAAGUUCAGCCUCCACUGGC